CUAUCAUCAUCAUCAUCAUCAUCAUCAACAUAUAUGUUAUCAGAGAUAAUUGUCUUAACCAAUUAAUAGCUGUUGUCAUCAUAGUAUGCACUAAGUUAUUUAACUGUCAGUAAAUUCUGCUGGCCUCUUUUCAACAAAUGCUGUCA